UACGGAGGAUGCGAGCGUUAUCCGGAUUUAUUGGGUUUAAAGGGUGCGUAGGCGGAUCGUUAAGUCAGUGGUCAAAUUGAGGGGCUCAACCCCUUCCCGCCAUUGAAACUGGCGAUCUUGAGUGGAAGAGAAGUAUGCGGAAUGCGUGGUGUAGCGGUGAAAUGCAUAGAUAUCACGCAGAACCCCGAUUGCGAAGGCAGCAUGCCGGCUUCCUACUGACGCUGAAGCACGAAAGCGCGGGGAUCGAACAGG
rnacentral:rRNA from 1 species